rnacentral:rRNA from 1 species
GACGAACGCUGGCGGCGUGCUUAACACAUGCAAGUCGAACGGAAAGGCCUCUUUCGGGGGGUACUCGAGUGGCGAACGGGUGAGUAACACGUGAGUAACCUGCCCUUGACUUUGGGAUAACUUCAGGAAACUGGGGCUAAUACCGGAUAGGAGCUCCUGCUGCAUGGUGGGGGUUGGAAAGUUUCGGCGGUUGGGGAUGGACUCGCGGCUUAUCAGCUUGUUGGUGGGGUAGUGGCUUACCAAGGCUUUGACGGGUAGCCGGCCUGAGAGGGUGACCGGCCACAGUGGGACUGAGAUACGGCCCAGACUCCUACGGGAGGCAGCAGUGGGGAAUAUUGCACAAGGGGUGGAAGCCUGAUGCAGCAACGCCGUGGGCGGGAGGACGGCCUUCGGGUUGUAAACCGCUUUCGCUCAUGACGAAGCUUUGUGUGACGGUAGUGGGUAAAGAAGCACCGGCUAACUACGUG